rnacentral:rRNA from 1 species
AUUGAACGCUGGCGGCAGGCUUAACACAUGCAAGUCGAGCGGAUGAAGGGAGCUUGCUUCUGGAUUCAGCGGCGGACGGGUGAGUAAUGCCUAGGAAUCUGCUUGGUAGUGGGGGAUAACGUCCGGAAACGGGCGCUAAUACCGCAUACUUCCUGCUGGAGAUAGUGGGGGAUCUUCGGACCUCACGCUAUCAGAUGAGCCUAGGUCGGAUUAGCUAGUUGGUGGGGUAAAGGCUUACUAAGGCGGCGAUCCGUAACUGGUCUGAGUGGAUGAUCAGUCACACUAGAACUGAGACAGGGACAAGGGUCCUGCGGGAGGCAGCAGUGGGGAAAGGUGGGCAGUGGGCGAAAGCCUGGUACAACGAUGCCGCGUGUGUGGAGGAGGUCUUCGGAUUGGAAAGCACUUUAAGUUGGGAGGAAGGGCAGUAGGUUGAUACCUUGCUGGUUUGACGGUACCAGCAGAAUAAGCACCGGCUAACUUCGUG